CAAGCGAGUAAGCGCAUACGGUGGAUGCCUAGGCGGCAGAAGGCGAUGAAGGACGUUGUAGCCUGCGAUAAGCCUCGGGGAGUUGGCAAACGAGCUUUGAUCCGAGGAUUUCCGAAUGGGGAAACCCGGCCACCUUCGGGUGGUCAUCGUGCACUGAAUACAUAGGUGCAUGAGGCGAACCCGGGGAACUGAAACAUCUAAGUACCCGGAGGAAAAGAAAUCAACCGAGAUUCCCUUAGUAGUGGCGAGCGAACGGGGAACAGCCCUUAAGCUAUGCUUGCGUUAGUGGAACGGUCUGGGAAGUCCGACCAUAGAGGGUGAUAGUCCCGUACGCGAAAACGUUUGCAUAGUGAAAUCGAGUAGGCCGGGACACGUGUUACCCUGGCUGAAGACGGGGGGCCCACCCUCCAAGGCUAAAUACUCUCUGCCGACCGAUAGUGAACCAGUACCGUGAGGGAAAGUUGAAAAGAACCCCGGUGAGGGGAGUGAAAUAGAACCUGAAACCGUAUGCGUACAAGCAGUCGGAGCGGCUUCGGCCGUGACGGCGUACCUUUUGUAUAAUGGGUCAGCGACUUAUUCCUCAGUGGCAAGGUUAACCGUUUAGGGGAGCCACAGGGAAACCGAGUCUGAACAGGGCGUUCAGUCGCUGGGGAUAGACCCGAAACCGGGCGAGCUAUCCAUGGCCAGGGUGAAGGUGGGGUAAUUCCCACUGGAGGCCCGAACCCACUAACGUUGAAAAGUUAGGGGAUGAGUUGUGGAUAGGAGUGAAAGGCUAAUCAAGCCCGGAGAUAUCUGGUUCUCCCCGAAAGCUAUUUAGGUAGCGCCUCGUGUCUCACUCCCGGGGGUAGAGCACUGUAUCGGCUAGGGGGCUCCCAGGAGCUUACCAAACCGUAGCAAACUCCGAAUACCGGGAAGUGCAAUCACGGGAGACACACAGCGGGUGCUAAGGUCCGUUGUGAAGAGGGAAACAGCCCAGACCGCCAGCUAAGGUCCCCAAAUCACGGCUCAGUGGUUAACGAUGUGGGAAGGCAGAGACAGUCAGGAGGUUGGCUUAGAAGCAGCCAUCCUUUAAAGAAAGCGUAAUAGCUCACUGAUCGAGUCGGCCUGCGCGGAAGAUAUAUCGGGGCUAAGCCGUGUACCGAAGCUGCGGACGCACUAUGUGCGUGGUAGGGGAGCGUUCCGUACGCCGACGAAGGUGUGUCGAAAGGCAUGCUGGAGGUAUCGGAAGUGAGAAUGCUGACAUGAGUAACGAUAAAGGAGGUGAAAACCCUCCUCGCCGAAAGCCCAAGGGUUCCUGCGCAACGCCAAUCGGCGCAGGGUGAGUCGGCCCCUAAGGCGAGGCCGAAAGGCGUAGCCGAUGGGAAACGGGUUAAUAUUCCCGUACCUCGCAUUACUGCGACGGGGUGACGGAGAAGGCUAGCUCAUCCGGGUAACGGUUAUCCCGGUUCAAGCAUGUAGGCGGUGGCCCUAGGUAAAUCCGGGGCCGCAACGCUGAGACGUGAUGACGAGUCUCCAAGGAGGCGAAGUGAGUGAUGCCCUGCUCCCAGGAAAAGCCUCUAAGCUUCAGGUAAUGCGGGACCGUACCCCAAACCAACACAGGUGGGCAGGGUGAGAAUCCCAAGGCGUUGAGAUAACUCGGGUGAAGGAACUCGGCAAAAUGGCACCGUAACUUUGGGAGAAGGUGCGCCUCUUGUACGUGAAGGCCCUUGCGGCCGGAGCGGAAGGAGGCCGCAGUGACCAGGGGGCUGCGACUGUUUACUAAAAACACAGCACUCUGCUAACUCGUAAGAGGACGUAUAGGGUGUGACGCCUGCCCGGUGCCGGAAGGUUAAGUGAUGGGGUUAGCUUCGGCGAAGCCCUUGAUCGAAGCCCCGGUAAACGGCGGCCGUAACUAUAACGGUCCUAAGGUAGCGAAAUUCCUUGUCGGGUAAGUUCCGACCUGCACGAAUGGCGUAACGAUGGCCCCACUGUCUCCACCCGAGACUCAGUGAAAUUGAACUCGCUGUGAAGAUGCAGUGUACCCGCGGCAAGACGGAAAGACCCCGUGAACCUUUACUACAGCUUCGCGCUGAACUUUGAGCAUGCUUGUGUAGGAUAGGUGGGAGGCUUGGAUGCCGGGACGCCAGUCCCGGCGGAGCCAACCUUGAAAUACCACCCUGGCAUGUUUGGGGUUCUAACCUUGGGCCGUCAUCCGGUUCAGGGACAGCGCGUGGUAGGUAGUUUGACUGGGGCGGUCUCCUCCCAAAGAGUAACGGAGGAGCGCGAAGGUACCCUCAGCACGGUCGGAAAUCGUGCAACGAGUGCAAAGGCAUAAGGGUGCUUAACUGCGAGACAUACACGUCGAGCAGGUGCGAAAGCAGGUCUUAGUGAUCCGGUGGUCCUGAGUGGAAGGGCCAUCGCUCAACGGAUAAAAGGUACUCCGGGGAUAACAGGCUGAUUCCGCCCAAGAGUUCACAUCGACGGCGGAGUUUGGCACCUCGAUGUCGGCUCAUCACAUCCUGGGGCUGUAGUCGGUCCCAAGGGUACGGCUGUUCGCCGUUUAAAGUGGUACGCGAGCUGGGUUUAGAACGUCGUGAGACAGUUCGGUCCCUAUCUGCCGUGGGCGUUGGAGACUUGAGAGGAUCUGCUCCUAGUACGAGAGGACCGGAGUGGACGUACCUCUGGUGUUCCGGUUGUCACGCCAGUGGCACAGCCGGGUAGCUACGUACGGAAGGAAUAACCGCUGAAAGCAUCUAAGCGGGAAGUCCACCUCAAGAUUAGGUCUCCCUGGACCCUCGAGGUCCCUGAAGGGCCGUCCGAGACUAGGACGUUGAUAGGCUGGGUGUGGAAGCGCAGUAAUGCGUGAAGCUAACCAGUACUAAUUGCCCGUGCGGCUUGACCA
rnacentral:rRNA from 1 species